rnacentral:rRNA from 1 species
GAGUUUGAUCAUGGCUCAGAUUGAACGCUGGCGGCAGGCCUAACACAUGCAAGUCGAACGGUAACAGGAAACAGCUUGCUGUUUCGCUGACGAGUGGCGGACGGGUGAGUAAUGUCUGGGAAACUGCCUGAUGGAGGGGGAUAACUACUGGAAACGGUAGCUAAUACCGCAUAACGUCGCAAGACCAAAGAGGGGGACCUUCGGGCCUCUUGCCAUCAGAUGUGCCCAGAUGGGAUUAGCUAGUAGGUGGGGUAACGGCUCACCUAGGCGACGAUCCCUAGCUGGUCUGAGAGGAUGACCAGCCACACUGGAACUGAGACACGGUCCAGACUCCUACGGGAGGCAGCAGUGGGGAAUAUUGCACAAUGGGCGCAAGCCUGAUGCAGCCAUGCCGCGUGUAUGAAGAAGGCCUUCGGGUUGUAAAGUACUUUCAGCGGGGAGGAAGGGAGUAAAGUUAAUACCUUUGCUCAUUGACGUUACCCGCAGAAGAAGCACCGGCUAACUCCGUGCCAGCAGCCGCGGUAAUACGGAGGGUGCAAGCGUUAAUCGGAAUUACUGGGCGUAAAGCGCACGCAGGCGGUUUGUUAAGUCAGAUGUGAAAUCCCCGGGCUCAACCUGGGAACUGCAUCUGAUACUGGCAAGCUUGAGUCUCGUAGAGGGGGGUAGAAUUCCAGGUGUAGCGGUGAAAUGCGUAGAGAUCUGGAGGAAUACCGGUGGCGAAGGCGGCCCCCUGGACGAAGACUGACGCUCAGGUGCGAAAGCGUGGGGAGCAAACAGGAUUAGAUACCCUGGUAGUCCACGCCGUAAACGAUGUCGACUUGGAGGUUGUGCCCUUGAGGCGUGGCUUCCGGAGCUAACGCGUUAAGUCGACCGCCUGGGGAGUACGGCCGCAAGGUUAAAACUCAAAUGAAUUGACGGGGGCCCGCACAAGCGGUGGAGCAUGUGGUUUAAUUCGAUGCAACGCGAAGAACCUUACCUGGUCUUGACAUCCACGGAAGUUUUCAGAGAUGAGAAUGUGCCUUCGGGAACCGUGAGACAGGUGCUGCAUGGCUGUCGUCAGCUUGUGUUGUGAAAUGUUGGGUUAAGUCCCGCAACGAGCGCAACCCUUAUCCUUUGUUGCCAGCGGUCCGGCCGGGAACUCAAAGGAGACUGCCAGUGAUAAACUGGAGGAAGGUGGGGAUGACGUCAAGUCAUCAUGGCCCUUAUGACCAGGGCUACACACGUGCUACAAUGGCGCAUACAAAGAGAAGCGACCUCGCGAGAGCAAGCGGACCUCAUAAAGUGCGUCGUAGUCCGGAUUGGAGUCUGCAACCCGACUCCAUGAAGUCGGAAUCGCUAGUAAUCGUGGAUCAGAAUGCCACGGUGAAUACGUUCCCGGGCCUUGUACACACCGCCCGUCACACCAUGGGAGUGGGUUGCAAAAGAAGUAGGUAGCUUAACCUUCGGGAGGGCGCUUACCACUUUGUGAUUCAUGACUGGGGUGAAGUCGUAACAAGGUAACCGUAGGGGAACCUGCGGUUG